rnacentral:tRNA from 1 species
GCGCGGUUAGCUCAGCGGUAGAGCGGCUCGUUUACACCGAGUUGGUCGGGGGUUCGAUUCCCUCACCGCGCACCA